rnacentral:rRNA from 1 species
AUGUACAUCCCUACAGCAUAACAUUAAUAUACCAAAUCCCAUUAGAACUCUGCAGUUAAGUGCACUUGGGCUAGAGUAGUACUGGGAUGGGUGACCGCCUGGAAAGUCCUAGUGUUUUACAUG